UGUUUUGUCUCGAUCCAGUUUCUGUAAGUAGAAAAAUACAGUUUUUGAAUCAGGUCAGUAAAUACCUUUAAUAUUCUCAUCCAGACAGUUGUCACUAAAGUUUU